rnacentral:lncRNA from 1 species
UCGGGUCAGGUGGAGCAGCUCCUCUAGCACCUAAUGGUGGGGGUGGAGGAGGUCCAACCCCAGGAGGUCUAGGAGGGCCAGGUGCUCCACGACCUCCACCAGGAGGGGGAGGUGGUGCCGGUGCUCCACCACCCCCGGGUGGGGGAGGUGGUGGUGGGGCUCUACCACCGCCGGGCGGGGGAGGUGGUGGUGGGGCUCUACCACCGCCGGGAGGGGGAGGUGGUGGAGGGGCUCUACCACCGCCGGGAGGGGGAGGUG